rnacentral:sRNA from 1 species
UACAGCUGGCCCGUUUGCGGAAGACCGCACU